ACGAACGCUGGCGGCGUGCUUAACACAUGCAAGUCGAACGCUGAAGCUCAGCUUGCUGGGUGGAUGAGUGGCGAACGGGUGAGUAACACGUGAGUAACCUGCCCCCUUCUUUGGGAUAACGCCCGGAAACGGGUGCUAAUACUGGAUAUUCACUGAUCUUCGCAUGGGGGUUGGUGGAAAGGUUUUUUCUGGUGGGGGAUGGGCUCGCGGCCUAUCAGCUUGUUGGUGGGGUGAUGGCCUACCAAGGCUUUGACGGGUAGCCGGCCUGAGAGGGUGACCGGUCACAUUGGGACUGAGAUACGGCCCAGACUCCUACGGGAGGCAGCAGUGGGGAAUAUUGCACAAUGGGCGAAAGCCUGAUGCAGCGACGCCGCGUGAGGGAUGGAGGCCUUCGGGUUGUAAACCUCUUUCGCUCAUGGUCAAGCCGCAACAUUGGUUGUGGUGAGGGUAGUGGGUAAAGAAGCGCCGGCUAACUACGUG
rnacentral:rRNA from 1 species